AAAGCACGAAAGCGCUGUAAAGGCAGUUAAUUACAGGUUGUGUGUAUUUUAAAUCCAGUUAUAUCAUUAUCUUGCAUAGUACAGUGUACUUAUCAGAGGUGGCUUUCAGUAUUUAAGAUUUAGAGUUCUCUAAUGAUAUUGAAUAAGUUUUAUGAAUGUCAUAUUCUGAGCACUAUAUGAAGGCGAUUGUUCUCACUUGUUUAUGAACUAGUGCAUUAUGUCCAGUUUGUACCUUUUUUAUCUAUGUUUAUAGUCAAAUUAGUCAUCAAAGGUACCAGGAUUAUAAUUUAAUACACCAGACGUGUGUUUCGUCUACAUAAGACUCAUCAGUGACGUUCAGAUCAAAAUAGUAACAAAGCCAAACAAGUACAAAGUUGAAGAGCAUUGAGGACCCAAAAUUCCAAAAAGUUGUGCCAAAUACGGCUAAGGAAAUCUAUUCCUUGGAUAAGAAAAUCCUUAGUUUUUUCAUUGGCAAUCAUAACACAUUUCCUUAUUUAUAUAAUGAUCUAUAUUCAACGACCUCAGGUACAAAAAAAAUGUAUGUAACUAAACUAUGAUGGGAAACCUUUGACUUCUUUCUUUAUAUAAACUUUUGAUUUGGUACCAUAGAACUAUGUAGAGUAAAUGUACAUUGCAACAUGUCAACUCUUUCAACUCCAAGCAAAAUUAUAUUUCCAAGCAUAAAGUAAUUUAUGAAUGAAAUAAAAUGCUCCGCUGGGGCGCAGCUUGAUACGACCGCAGAGGUCAAACCCGGAACAGUUGGGGCAAGUAUGGACCCUACAUUCAAGCUUGAUACAGCUCUGAAUUUGGAUUGUAAUUAAAUAUUUGACACAGCAUAGGUUUCUGACACAGAAUGAAUGUGGUCUAAGAACUUAAAAAUUUUAAAUUGGACAUUCACAUAUUAUGGUCCAAUAUCCAAAAUCUAAAUACAUGGUUAGAUUCAGCAUAUCAAAGAACCCCAAGAAUUCAAUUUUUGAUGAAAUCAAACAAAGUUUAAUUUUGGACCCUUUUGACCUCAAUGUGGACAAAGUUGAUAACGGGGCCCAAAAAUCUAAAUACAUGGUUAGAUUCAGCAUAUCAAAGAACCCCAUAUAUUCAAUUUUUGUUGAAAUCAAACAAAGUUUAAUUUUGGACCCCGAUUUGGACCAACUUGAAAACUGGGCCCAUAAUCAAAAAUCUAAAUACAUGUUUAGAUUCAGCAUAUCAAAGAACCCCAAGAAUUCAAUUUUUGUUAAAAUCAAACUAAGUUUAAUUUUGGACCCUUUGGAACUUAAUGUAGACCAAUUUGAAAACGGAACCAAAAAUUAAGAAUCUAAAUACACGGUUAGAUUCGGCAUAUCAAAGAACCCCAAUAAUUCAAUUUUUGAUGAAAUCAAACAAAGUUAAAUUUUGGACCCUUUGGACCUCAAUGUGGACCAAUUUAAAAACGGGGCCCAAAAUCCAAAAACUUAAUACACGGUUAUAUUCAGCAUAUUAAAGAACCCAAAGAAUUCAAGAAUAAAACCCCAUUGAAAUUGAUCAAGAAAUAAGCAAUUUAUAAGAAGUAUCUUCUUUUGCACAAUACUGUGCAAUUGAAUAUUUCUUGCUAUUGCGCAAUACUGUACAAUUGACAAUUUCUUGCUAUUGCGCAAUAUUGUGCUAUUGGAUAUUUCUUGCUAUUGCACAAUACUGUGCAAUUGAAGAUUUCUUGCUAUUGCGCAAUACUGUGCAAUUGAAGAUUUCUUGCUAUUGUGCAAUACUGUGCAAUUGAAAAUUUCUUGCUAUUGCACAAUACUUAUUAUAUAAAAAUUUACACAUCCUGUUUGGUGUGUAUCUGCUACAAUAUCAUUAUUAUUUGCUUUUAAAUAUAAAUCAGAAAUAACCAACUUAAAAUGGAAAAUUUUAAAAGAAAAAAAAAAAGGAAAAAAAGAAAAAAAAAUCCCCCCCCCCAAAUUUUUUGAACCCCCUUAUGAUUCAUCACCCCCAAACUCAAUCCCAGCCUUCCCUUUGUGGUAUGGUACCUUGCAGUACAAUUUCAGAGAGAUCCAUACACUUGAACACAAGUUAUUGUCUUGAAACUAGAAAAAUGCUUAUUUUUGGUCCCUUUUUGGCCCCCAAUUCCUAAACAUUUCAGGCAAUUACCCCCGAACUCAAUUCCACCUUUCCCUUUGUGAUAUGAAACCUUGUAGUACAAUUUCAGAAAUAUCCAAACACUUACACACAAGUUAUUGUCAUGAAACUAGAAAAAUGCUUGUUUUUUGCCCCUUUUUUGGCCCCUUAUUCCUAAAAUUUUGAGGCAAUUACCCCCAAAAUCAAUUACAGCCUUCCCUUUGUGAUAUGGAACCUUGUGGUACAAUGUCAGAGAGAUCCAUACACUUACACACAAGUUAUUGUCUGAAAGUUACAAAAUGCUUAUUUUUGGCCCCUUUUUGGCCCCUAAUUCCUUAACUGUUGGUACCAUAACCCCCAAAAUCAAUCCCAGCCUUCCGUUCAUGGUAUUGAACCUUAUGGUAAAAUUUCAUGGAGAUCCAUUCACUUAAACUAAAGUUAGAGUGCGAAAACCAAUGUGUCUUCGGACGACGCCGGACGACGCCAGACGACGACGACGACGACGAUGACGACGCCAACGUCAUACCAAUAUACGACAAAAAUUUUUUUAAUUUUUGCGGUCGUAUAAAAAU